UCCAGCAGUCGAUUGAUCGGCUUGAGCCAGUCGCUUGUUCUGCGAGUUGAAGAAAAUGGCUACCGAGCCGGUCCAGCGACCUAGAUUGACGGCGUGAGCCACACCGAUCUCUCCCCAACUUCAUACCUAGCCUCACCAUGGUUGGGGAUUGGCAGCUCAACCACCAGAUUAACUCUGCUAGUCUGUUCUAUUCCAACGCAUCCAAGGCCGAUUCAAUUAGGACUAGUUCUAUCCAAGGUGAACUGGCGGUCCAACUGGUCCCUAGCCAAUCCGUAGGCGAUCCGAUCCAUCCCUCAAAGUUCCGAUCACGUUCUGGUGACGUUGAUUUUUUCCGAUUGUGCUUUGUUUUGAAGGAAAAUGCAGAAGGUAGAUGUUUUAACCUUGAAUCCGAU
rnacentral:lncRNA from 1 species